rnacentral:ncRNA from 1 species
GAAAAACACAAAAAUGCUCGUAUAUGCUUUGAAUAUGGCAAAGUGUCUCUACCGGGAACCGAUAAUUUCCGUCUAUGAGUGAUUUAAUAUA